GGUUACAUUUCUUCGAGAAAAGAAUGUUGGCGUAGUGAUCCGUGAUGAGCGAGAAUUUAAUCAGAUUCGCAUGCAUGGGGAAAAGGCAAAGGAAAAGCCAAUUUGUGGAGGUAAAGAAAAUGCUGCACCUAAAGUGGCACCUAAUGAUAAUGUUAGAUCAAAAGCCCAAUGCUUACGACGUGAACGAGA